GACUUAUUUUAGGACGGAGGGAGUAUAACCUACUUAUAGAGGAAGACACUAGCCAAAAGAAUACACAAUCUUCUUCUUUUUUACAUGGAGAAACCACACAAGUUAUACCAAUAUCACAUCAGGUAAGCAUACCACAGGUUAUAAUUAAUAAAGUACACAAGUUAUAAGUCACAAUCACCAAUAUCAGAUAAGUUAAGCAUACACUACUACUA